rnacentral:rRNA from 1 species
UACGUAGGUCCCGAGCGUUGUCCGGAAUUACUGGGUGUAAAGGGUGCGCAGGCGGCCAUGUGCGUCAGAAGUGAAAUAUCACGGCUUAACCGUGAGGGUGCUUUUGAAACGGCGUGGCUUGAGUACGGGAGAGGAUGAUGGAAUUCCUGGUGUAGCAGUGAAAUGCGUAGAUAUCAGGAGGAACACCGGUGGCGAAGGCGGUCAUCUGGCCCGGUACUGACGCUCAGGCACGAAAGUGUGGGUAGCAAACAGG